rnacentral:rRNA from 1 species
GAUGAACGCUGGCGGCGUGCCUAAUACAUGCAAGUCGAGCGAACAGAUGAGGAGCUUGCUCCUCUGACGUUAGCGGCGGACGGGUGAGUAACACGUGGAUAACCUACCUAUAAGACUGGGAUAACUUCGGGAAACCGGAGCUAAUACCGGAUAAUAUAUUGAACCGCAUGGUUCAAUAGUGAAAGACGGUUUUGCUGUCACUUAUAGAUGGAUCCGCGCCGCAUUAGCUAGUUGGUAAGGUAACGGCUUACCAAGGCAACGAUGCGUAGCCGACCUGAGAGGGUGAUCGGCCACACUGGAACUAGGACACGGUCCAGACUCCUACGGGAGGCAGCAGUAGGGAAUCUUCCGCAAUGGGCGAAAGCCUGACGGAGCAACGCCGCGUGAGUGAUGAAGGUCUUCGGAUCGUAAAACUCUGUUAUUAGGGAAGAACAAAUGUGUAAGUAACUAUGCACGUCUUGACGGUACCUAAUCAGAAAGCCACGGCUAACUACGUG